rnacentral:rRNA from 1 species
AAUAUUGGACAAUGGGGGCAACCCUGACCCAGCCAUGCCGCGUGUGUGAAGAAGGUCUUCGGUUUGUAAAGCACUUUAAGUUGGGAGGAAGGGCUUUAGGUUAAUACCCUGAAGUUUUGACGUUACCAAAAGAAUAGGCACCGGCUAACUCAGUGCCGGCAGCCGCGGUAAUACAGAGGGUGCAAGCGUUAAUCGGAAUUACUGGGAGUAAAGCGCGCGUAGGUGGUUCAGUAAGAUGGGUGUGACAUCCCCGGGCUUAACCUGGGAACUGCUUUCAUAACUGCUGAGCUAGAGUACGGUAGAGGGUAGUGGAAUUUCCUGUGUAGCGGUGAAAUGCGUAGAUAUAGGAAGGAACACCAGUGACGAAGGCGACUACCUGGACUGAUACUGACACUGAGGUGCGAAAGCGUGGGGAGCAAAC